UCCAUAAGGUGAACCUGCGAAGGGAUCAUAACAAAA
rnacentral:rRNA from 1 species